GUGAGAGAGUACAGACAGACAAUUUGCGACCUGGACUGCUUCUCCGACUGUGACUCUCUCCCUCUCUCUCAAUAGAUAAAAUUCCCAGAUAUUAUUGUGCAUUGAAUUGUGCCUUUCCUCUUCUUACUCUUCACCCCCCAAAGAUCUAGACCGAGAUCAUUUGCUGUAAACAGAUGGACCGAAGACGAACCGAGACUCUUCAGAGUCAACUCUACGUUCGCCAGUGGAGCAGCGAAUCUAGCGCCACCGCCGCUUCCUCCUCUCCGGCAAUGUCGCCGUCGCAUCACCACCACUCUCGCUCUUCUUCCGCCACCGGCAUUUCCACCUUCAAGCGCAAUCAGACCUUCGCCGCCAAAGCCGCCUCCGUCAGGCUCGCUCAGGUCAUGGCUUCUCAAACGGCUAACAACAGCGAUGAAGAUGAAGAUGACGACGAUGACAACUACAAUAUCAUCGACCGUAACUAUAAUUCUUCGAUUCUGUCUGCUAGAUCUUCCUCCCUUGCGUUAGCACAGAACUUUGUAGAGGAAAAUCCUUCAUUCCACUCAACAUCAGCUGGAAGGCCAUUAAUGUUUAUUCCUACAACUUCUGCAGUACCACCUAGUAGAACAUCAGUGAAGACUCCAAUGCCUGUACCACCAAUUGAUCCUCCUACUUAUAGGAUAAAAGAGACAAGAUUCUCAUCAGAUAUGGGGCAAAUGUACUUGAAAGAUACAGGGGAUCAACGGGAAGCUUCUACCCUUCGUGAUGAACUUGAUAUGCUGCAAGAAGAAAAUGAGAAUAUUAUUGAAAAGCUCAGGAUUGCAGAACAGGGGUACGAGGAAGCAGAAGCUAGAGCUAGGGAGAUUGAGAAACAGGUAGCUUCUCUUGGACAAGGAGUAUCUUUAGAAGCAAAAUUGUUGAAUAGAAAGGAAGCUGCAUUCCGUCAAAGAGAGGCUGCUGCACUUAGAGAUGUAAAACAAACAAGAGACGGGGUAGAUGAGGAAAUUGCCUCCCUCCGCUUAGACCUUGAGAAAGUGAAAACUGAGGCUGCAGCUGCUGUAGACCAGCUUCAGGGAACUGAAGCUGAAGUUAGAGCUCUUCGCUCUAUGACACAAAGGAUGGUUUUAACCCAGGGUGAAAUGGAGGAAAUUGUUCUUAAGCGAUGUUGGCUUGCACGCUAUUGGGGUUUAGCUGCACGACAUGGCAUCUGUGCAGAUAUUGCAGCAUCAAAGCAUGAGUACUGGUCAUCUUUAGCACCUCUUCCUUUGGAAGUUGUCCUUUCUGCGGGACAAAUGGCUAAAGAGGAAUGCUUGGAGAAAGGUGAUGAAAAUCCUGAGAGGAGCAAACUCAUUCAGGACUUGAAUGAUCUAACUGGAGAAGGAAUUAUUGAGAGUAUGCUUUCAGUUGAAAUGGGCUUGAAGGAGCUUGCAUCCUUGAAGGUUGAGGAUGCUACUGUGCUUGUAUUGGAACAACAAUGGCGUGCAAACGCAGUUCGAUCAUCAGUUUCAGAUAUCAAGACACCUGGUGAUCCGAAGUUUAUGGAUGCAUUUGGGGGAGCUGGUUAUAACUUUGAGGUCUUUGUUCACCUGCAGAACUGAGUCCAGAAGAUUCCGAGGAUGUUCUUUUCAAGGAGGUCUGGGAUUUCUCUCUUAUUUGCCAUUAUUUCCACCUGAGUCACGCUAAUUAAUAUGUUCACACUACUACAAUGGCUUACUGAAGUUGCAUAUUUUAUGGGGUCACAAUCUACUGUUAUUUUAUUUAGUGAAUUCAUUUUCUUUAUUUUGGUGUAUAGAAACAAUUUCAUUUUUUUUCCCAAUUAUGAAUGGCAGAAGUAAUUUUAAUCUCAACUGGGAAUCCCAAAGAGUAAAUUUCUGAAACUGAAGUUGCGAGUUCCAUCCAGCACCAGCCUUGUCAAGGAUUUGGAAAUUCAGCAUGCCUUGUCAUGAAGAGAUGUGUUACAUAUGCAGAUUUCUUUUUUCUUUUCAUCUCUAUUUGCAUCCCUUGCCUCCAUAGAAUUUCGUGCAAGAGUUAAAACUUCAUGGUUUAGAAUUCUUGGUCAAACAAUGACCUCAAUUAAGUUUUAUGCACAAUUUCAUUUUUACUAUAUUAUUUCUGUGCAAUCUUUUCUUAGUUUAAACUUGAUGGCUAAUCCUGAUGGCAUUUUUUGUUUUGUUAAUUUCACUUUUAACUUGCACAGGCAUGGCUUAUGUAUUUUUGGAGAAGAGCUGAAGUCCAUGGUAUAGAAGAGGAGAUUGCCAAAGAACGACUUCAAUUUUGGAUUAGCUGUAGCGGGCACUCACCAACCUCACAUGAUGCUGUUGAUGUUGAGCAAGGUUUGAUGGAGCUGA